UUGGGGCGGCGGUGGACCCCUCCUUACCAAAGCCUGAUGAAGGUAAUGUGCAGUGUCCACAACAUAUUGUCUGAUAAAAAAAAAGGAGAAAGAGCCCCUGAUGAUGGUGUGUGUGGUGGGCUCAGGGUGCUCCCCUGAAAUGGGAGGGGGCGGUGACUCGGAUUCUCUUCCCCCCUUCAAAUUUUUCCCCGUUGACUGCCCUUUCCGUCUUAAAACGUAGGUUUCCAUCCAAUUGGAGACCCUGUCCUGAAAAAAGUGACAGUUUUAUUACCGGUGAUCUUGAGUUUACUUUUCCGAUUCUGUGACUUUAAUUCAUCUGGAACAAUGUGCGAUAUGCUCAAAUAAGACCUGCGGGGUUAAACCGCAUAUCUCCGCGUAUACUGAGAUGUGAUUUGAUUGGUCAACGUGUUUCUUACAAUCCCAUCUUUUAACAGACUCCCCAACUCCUGAUUUUUCUCGCCCUCUUUUCCGAG
rnacentral:misc_RNA from 1 species